rnacentral:rRNA from 1 species
UACGUAGGUGACAAGCGUUGUCCGGAUUUACUGGGCGUAAAGAGCGCGCAGGCGGUCGAUCAAGUCGAGUGUGAAAGCCCCCGGCUCAACUGGGGAGGGUCAUUCGAAACUGGUCGACUCGAAGGCAGGAGAGGGUAGUGGAAUUCCCGGUGUAGUGGUGAAAUGCGCAGAUAUCGGGAGGAACACCUAUGGCGAAGGCAGCUCGCUGGGACGUUACUGACGCUGAGACGCGAAAGCGUGGGGAGCAAACAGG